CCUACGGGCGGCUGCAGUGGGGAAUAUUGGACAAUGGGCGAAAGCCUGAUCCAGCCAUGCCGCGUGUGUGAAGAAGGCCUUCGGGUUGUAAAGCACUUUCAGUGGGGAAGAAAGCCUUGGGGCUAAUACCCUCGAGGAAGGACAUCACCCACAGAAGAAGCACCGGCUAACUCCGUGCCAGCAGCCGCGGUAAUACGGAGGGUGCGAGCGUUAAUCGGAAUUACUGGGCGUAAAGCGCGCGUAGGUGGUCUGAUAAGCCGGUUGUGAAAGCCCCGGGCUCAACCUGGGAACGGCAUCCGGAACUGUCAGGCUAGAGUGCAGGAGAGGAAGGUAGAAUUCCCGGUGUAGCGGUGAAAUGCGUAGAGAUCGGGAGGAAUACCAGUGGCGAAGGCGGCCUUCUGGACUGUCACGGACGCUGAGGUGCGAAAGCGUGGGUAGCAAACAGGAUUAAUACCCUGGUAGUC
rnacentral:rRNA from 1 species